AACAGGUGGGACAAACACUCGUUUACUUGGUCCUGCCUCAGCGCCAGGUUCUGGACUUGAUGACUUCUCAAGGUCCCUUCCAGAGCGACAUUUCUGUGAUUCUAUGAAACGAACCUCCCCAAAGCCCUAAGCAUACGUACAAUACAAUUCAAAACCACAUUUAAAAAAAAUUCAGUCCAGACACUGCCUACAUCCCCUAUCCUUUUCUGAUUAUUCCCAUAUCCAGCUAUUACCCUUUUCAGCUUACUGUGUCUCUCUGCAAACAACUCUAAAUACACCAAGAGGUUGAAAAAUAAAAUUCUGUUGUACAGGGAAAAAAUGUCAUGGUCUACUCAUUGUGUGAGCCUUGUGUUGCAACAGGAUGCACAAGGGGAAAGUGACCAAUUACCUCCUAAAACACACAGCAAAGUAACUGCAGGCUGAGCCCAGAUGUUAAUGUGUUCCCAGAGCUCAGAUGCCAGUGCUGUCCGGAAAUAGCUGUGAGCUGGGUUAGAGAGCAUUCUGGGUAACAGGCAUGCAAAUGAGCACCCAGUGCAUCCCAUUUUCCUUUGAAAUUCCUGUCCUUGGCAUUGCUGCUUGCAAGCAGCCUUUGAACUGGAGUCAAAUUCAGCAUAUUCAACAGACAUGCUUCGAGGGCCUUUUGGGAGUUCUCACUUCAAUCAUCAGUGAGGUUGGCUCCUGCUUUUGGGGUAUAUAUGGUACAGCUAUGCGCACAAUGGUAAUCUUGCAAGCAGAUGACAGGGUAUGUGGAUUCCUGGCAUUAUCGGAGAAGAACUGAAAGACUGUAGUCACUGCUAUCUCCAGUCCAGCAUGCAAAUGCUCAGCACGGCAAGACUUGCUGACAUUGAUCAACGCUCUUCUUUUUUUUUUAAGGGUUUUUAAUUAACAUCCUGUUUCAAUAAUGAGUUUUAAGCACCACAUGAUUCCAGGAAGGAGGUCAAGCUCGCCGUGAGGAUGUCAGAAUAAAUUAAGUUAGGAAUUAGAAAGAGGUCCAAGGGGCGGAGGGAGAUCUUGCUGUGGAGAAUGGUUCAUGGCCACUGCAGUUGUCAAUUCUGCUACCAAAUUGGUAGGGGCCAGUCACCCUAAGCAGCCUGGGCAGCACAUAGUCAGUGUUUGUCUAUAUUAUUCUGCACAUUUCAGUUCAGUUUCUUGUCUUGCUGGUUGUAGGUUCCCAUUAAACUGCAGGGUUGAUAGAUCUCCUUCCAGUUCAGGUAGGUUUUGUGGUCUCGAUCCCGCCACAACUUACACACAGCAGUGGGGCUACUCACGUGUGUCGAGUUGAGCACAUGUGUAAAUCUUUGCAAGAUUGGGGCCCAUGUGAGCUUCUCACACUUGGGGCUCGAUUGUCCUCUGCACCAGCUCAUUAUCAAUCAGGCGUAACGCCACCAAAGGCGGGGGCGUGAGGUAUAAUGGCGAAAGGGAGAGGAGAAUCAGGCCAUCCUCUUUAGAAAAUUCUAUUUAGCAUCUUUACUUUGUAUCAGAAGGGGCUAGAAUCUCUCUACAGCCGCGGUGUCAGACCUUCGGAGCACCAUGGUGAAGGUAAGGAGCAUACUGGAAGGACGGAAGCCCAAUUGGCAGUGGCCAAUUUCCAUAUACAUUUAGAUAAUUUCAGAAAUAAAUGCACAAAGGUAAUAUUAUUUACUGAGCACCUCGCCUGGUUGCUUACGCUUGUGUCUUCCCUGACAGACGAUGAGAGAAAUUGCUUGGUUGAGUACAACAGAAACAAAAACCACGCAGCUGCUGAGGUUUGUGUUCAUACAGCAGUAUGUGCGAGAGAGAGAGAGAGAAAGAAAGGGGAGGUACCUUUAUCAAUUGGGGAAAAGUCUGGGUUCCCACAGACAAUACAGCAAAUGCAUAUAGACCAUGGACCAAAUUCAGUACACACACUGGUCUAAAUACAGUGUAACUCCACUUACACCAGUGCAAAGUGAACGCAGAAAGUGUGUCGCUUAUCUAUAUUUUCCUUUUCACAUAGACACGAAACUCUUCCACUUUCGGAACUGUUUUGGUUCAGUCACAACAACCUGAGAAAACACGAGCGACCUUAACCAAGGAUGAGGACAAGGCUGAGGCUAAUCAGAUACAAAGUGCUGGCUCUGGGGCAGAACUGCAGGGAUAAAUGGCUUCAAGGAAUCUGUGCUGUUUGGACUGCCACAGCAUGGGCCUACUUCUACCAGCCGUGAGCGAAGGGAGGACCAGCUGAGGGUCGAAGGUCAAACGCAGCCUGAAGAAAGGCACGGCUGUGUGCCAGUGCCGAUGCCAAUGGGAUGCUCUGUAGAGACAAGAGAUGGAAAAGAAGAGAGGGGUUUAUAUGCCCUGCAAGAGAGAUGGAUCUCAGCCCAGGGGCACUGAGAAUGCUGGCUACAUGCCAUCCUCUGCCUCUGCGUGUGCCCUCCAGCGAUCAGCCCUGCACAGGUCUUGGGGCUCAGACGUUAUCUACAGCCGUUUGGCAUGUCUGCUGGCGCGUUGUCUCACCUGGCUUUUGAUUGAACCCAACUUCCAAAACAAUACAGCAUGCAAAAUCCUGGGCUGGAUUGUCCACUGGUGUAAAUCAGGAGAGCACCAGUGGAGUUGGGGGGCAGAUCCCCAGCGGGUCUGAAUCGGCGCAGCUCCCGUUGUAGUCAAUGGGCCAGAUCCCCAGCAGUGUAAGAGUCAAUGGAGCUCCAUCAAUCGACCCCAGCUGAGGAUCAAUGAAACUCCCCUGAUUGACACUAGAUAGAAGUCCUGCCCAGCACAAUACCUACAUCAUCAUCGGGGGCAGAGCCAACCGGGGCAGUAGCUGUCUGAAGACGACGGCUCAGGGACGGAUGAUAUUUUUGCUCCAAAGACCCCCAGGCCUAAGAGAUCUGGGAAGGAAGAACUCCUGCCCUCCUACCCCCAGUAAAGGAUUUGAGGUGGGGCAGACUAUGGAAGGAAGGACAAGGGUAACAGUAACAACGGCCCAUGGUUAUUUAGGCCAGCUACAUGCAGAACCAGACUCUGCAGUCCUUAGUGAGGCUGGGUACCGCCUCACUCUGCACAUUGCUCCCCAGAGAGUAAGGUACCACCUAGUAAGUCAGGGUGGCUUUAGGGAGGCUGAACAAAACGUCCCCUUGGAGACAAUCAGAACGACAUAGAAUCAUAGAAUCUCAGGGUUGGAAGGGACCUCAAGAGGUCAUCUAGUCCAACCCCCUGCUCAAAGCAGGACCAAUUCCCAACUGACCAACAGCAUCAAACCCUGACGCCUCCGUGCCCUGCAGCUAAACCUGUUGCUUUCCACCGAGCUGUUUUUGAGGCCCUGCCAUAAAGAAUCUGGAGGAGGAAGAAAAAUGCAAGAGCAAACAGGAAUGAAAUAUUCCUCUCUCCGGUGGGUUUGUAGCCCGGGUGAAAUAUAGUCGAGACAAAGCAUAAAAGUCCCAUUUCCAACUCUAUAAUAUUUCCUGCCAAAACCAACUAAAACGUGCUGCUCUAAAUUUUCUGCAAAAUUCUUCUGAGGUUAUUUUUCCUUAAAUUAAGCCAUACUAAUUAUUUUCAGCCGGCUUUAUCUCCACUCUGCAACACACCAGGAGGGUGCAGGCGGCAAGCAUUUUAAGCCUCCAUAAACAAAAGAGUAGUUUGGAAAAUAAUUCUAUCAAUUAAUCAAAUUAAUCCUGCAGUUUUAGUUACAAGCCCCAAGUGGCAGGGAUUCUAGCCUGCGGUUAUGAGCUAUCUCUCAUUGACAGCGUUUAAAUGUUAUGAUUGCAACAGUAAUUAAAGAAUAUA